rnacentral:rRNA from 1 species
GUGGGGAACAGGGGUCACCUCCACCCGUGUUUUUGUACCUUGUUGCUUCGGUGCGCCCGCCUCACCGCCGCCGGGGGGCUUCUGCCCCCGGGUCCGCGCGCACCGGAGACACCAUUGAACUCUGUCUGAAGAUUGCAGUCUGAGCAUAAACUAAAUAAGUUAAAACUUUCAACAACGGAUCUCUUGGUUCCGGCAUCGAUGAAGAACGCAGCGAAAUGCGAUAACUAAUGUGAAUUGCAGAAUUCAGUGAAUCAUCGAGUCUUUGAACGCACAUUGCGCCCCCUGGUAUUCCGGGGGGCAUGCCUGUCCGAGCGUCAUUGCUGCCCUCAAGCACGGCUUGUGUGUUGGGCUCCGUCCCCCCGGGGACGGGCCCGAAAGGCAGCGGCGGCACCGAGUCCGGUCCUCGAGCGUAUGGGGCUUUGUCACCCGCUCUGUAGGCCCGGCCGGCGCCAGCCGACAACCCAUCAUCCUUUUCAGGUUGACCUCGGAUCAGGUAGGGAUACCC